rnacentral:rRNA from 1 species
AACGAACGCUGGCGGCAGGCCUAACACAUGCAAGUCGAGCGAAGCCUUCGGGCUUAGCGGCGGACGGGUGAGUAACGCGUGGGAACGUGCCCUUUGGUACGGAAUAGCCCCGGGAAACUGGGAGUAAUACCGUAUGUGGUCGAGAGACGAAAGAUUUAUCGCCAAAGGAUCGGCCCGCGUUGGAUUAGGUAGUUGGUGGGGUAAUGGCCUACCAAGCCGACGAUCCAUAGCUGGUUUGAGAGGAUGAUCAGCCACACUGGGACUGAGACACGGCCCAGACUCUUACGGGAGGCAGCAGUGGGGAAUCUUAGACAAUGGGGGAAACCCUGAUCUAGCCAUGCCGCGUGAUCGAUGAAGGCCUUAGGGUUGUAAAGAUCUUUCAGUGGGGAAGAUAAUGACUGUACCCACAGAAGAAGCCCCGGCUAACUCCGUGCCAGCCGCCGCGGUAACAC